CAUCUUUUCUUGUUAGUUUCUGAAGUAUGGCCUGCCCGCUGACGUAUUUUGAGUUGAAGGGCCGCGGUAUUUUGACCGUGCAAAGGUAGCAUAGUCAUUAGUUCUUUAAUUGUGAUCUGGUAUGAAUGGCUUGACGAGACAUAGGCUGUCUUAGUGUGAAUUUAUUGUUGAAUUUGGAGUUUAAGUUAAAAUUCUUAGAUGUUUUUAUGGGACGAGAAGACCCUAUAGAGUUUUACAUUUGAUUGUGCAUUUCUUUUUGUUUGUUUUAGGUUUUUGCGUGUCUUUUGUUUUGUUGGGGUGAUGGGAGGAAUUUAUUUAACUCCUCUUUUUAUGUGAUAUAUUGAUUUAUAUUUGUUUUGAUCCAUUUAUUUUGAUUGUAAGACUAAAUUACCUUAGGGAUAACAGCGUUAUCCUCCCUGAGAGUUCUUAUUGGCGGGGGGGUUUGCGACCUCGAUGUUGGAUUAAGGUUUAUUUUUGGUGUAGGAGCUGAAUUGAUUAGGUCUGUUCGACCUUUAAAAUCUUACGUGAUCU
rnacentral:rRNA from 1 species